GUCCGCAUUCCUGUAUGUCCGCAUGCCUGUAUGUCCGCAUGCCUGUAUGUCCGCAUGCCUGUAUGUCCGCAUGCCUGUAUGUCCGCGUGCCUGUAUAUCGGCAUCCCCUUCUCCAUCUCAAGUUCGGCAUUUCUGGUUGGAAGGAUGGUUUCCAAAGACAAAGAGUGAAACAAAGAAGGAUAGGCAGCCAGACAUGAUAAAUUAAUAACAUAAGGAUCAGUUUCCAAGACUAUCAGUUCCGUC
rnacentral:lncRNA from 1 species